rnacentral:rRNA from 1 species
UACGGGGGGGGCAAGCGUUGUUCGGAAUUACUGGGCGUAAAGGGCUCGUAGGCGGCCAACUAAGUCAGACGUGAAAUCCCCAGGCUUAACUUGGGAACUGCGUCUGAUACUGGAUGGCUUGAAUUCGGGAGAGGGAUGCAGAAUUCCAGGUGUAGCGGUGAAAUGCGUAGAUAUCUGGAGGAAUACCGGUGGCGAAGGCGGCAUCCUGGACAGUGACUGACGCUGAGACGCGAAAGCGUGGGGAGCAAACAGG